UACGUAGGGUGCAAGCGUUGUCCGGAAUUUAUUGGGCGUAAAGAGCUCGUAGGCGGUUUGUCGCGUUCUGCUGUGAAAACCCGAGGCUCAACCUCGGGCCUGCAGUGGGUACGGGCAGACUAGAGUGCGGUAGGGGAGAUUGGAAUUCCUGGUGUAGCGGUGGAAUGCGCAGAUAUCAGGAGGAACACCAAUAGCGAAGGCAGCUCGCUGGGACGUUACUGACACUGAGGCGCGAAAGCGUGGGGAGCGAACAGG
rnacentral:rRNA from 1 species